CGACGCUAGGGGCAACUCUAGCGAGCGGCGAACGGGUGAGUAAUACAUCGGAACGUGUCCUGUCGUGGGGGAUAACCAGUCGAGAGACUGGCUAAUACCGCAUGACCUCGCAAGAGAAAAGCGGAGGACCGCAAGGCUUCGCGCGAUUGGAGCGGCCGAUGUCGGAUUAGCUAGUUGGCGGGGUAAUGGCCCACCAAGGCGACGAUCCGUAGCUGGUUUGAGAGAACGACCAGCCACACUGGGACUGAGACACGGCCCAGACUCCUACGGGAGGCAGCAGUGGGGAAUUUUGGACAAUGGGGGCAACCCUGAUCCAGCCAUGCCGCGUGUGUGAAGAAGGCCUUCGGGUUGUAAAGCACUUUCGGCCGGAACGAAAUCGCCCGUGUUAACAGCGCGGGUGGAUGACGGUACCGGAAGAAGAAGCACCGGCUAACUACGUGCCAGCAGCCGCGGUAAUACGUAGGGUGCGAGCGUUAAUCGGAAUUACUGGGCGUAAAGGGUGCGCAGGCGGCUCCGCAUGUCGGGCGUGAAAUCCCCGGGCUUA
rnacentral:rRNA from 1 species